rnacentral:piRNA from 1 species
GACGAAACUGACGUGAUUGACGCGGGCGC